rnacentral:rRNA from 1 species
UACGUAGGGUGCGAGCGUUGUCCGGAAUUAUUGGGCGUAAAGAGCUCGUAGGCGGCCUAUUGUGUCUGCUGUGAAAGCCCGGGGCUUAACCCCGGGUCUGCAGUGGAUACGGGCAGGCUAGAGUUCGGCAGGGGAGACUGGAAUUCCUGGUGUAGCGGUGAAAUGCGCAGAUAUCGGGAAGAACACCCGUGGCGAAGGCGGUUCUCUGGGACGGUACUGACGCUGAGACGCGAAAGCGUGGGGAGCGAACAGG